GGACGAACGCUGGCGGCGUGCUUAACACAUGCAAGUCGAACGGAAAGGCCCUGCUUUUGUGGGGUGCUCGAGUGGCGAACGGGUGAGUAACACGUGAGUAACCUGCCCUUGACUUUGGGAUAACUUCAGGAAACUGGGGCUAAUACCGGAUAGGAGCUCCUGCUGCAUGGUGGGGGUUGGAAAGUUUCGGCGGUUGGGGAUGGACUCGCGGCUUAUCAGCUUGUUGGUGGGGUAGUGGCUUACCAAGGCUUUGACGGGUAGCCGGCCUGAGAGGGUGACCGGGCCCAUUGGGACUGGGAUACGGGCCAGACUCCUACGGGGGGGAAGAGGGGGGAAAAUUGCAAAAAGGGGGGAAGCCUUAGGCAGGCAACCCGGGGGGGGGAAUGGGGGCUUUGGGUUUGAAACCCCUUUUGCCUGUGAAGAAGGGGGAGGGAGGGGAAAGGGUAAAAAAACCCCCGCUAAAUACGUG
rnacentral:rRNA from 1 species